rnacentral:rRNA from 1 species
GGAGCUUGCUCCACCGAAGGAAAAGGAGUGGGGAAUGGGUGAGUAACACGUGGGUAACCUGCCCAUCAGAAGGGGAUAACACUUGGAAACAGGUGCUAAUACCGUAUAACAAUAGAAACCGCAUGGUUUCUAUUUGAAAGGCGCUUUUGCGUCACUGAUGGAUGGACCCGCGGUGCAUUAGCUAGUUGGUGAGGUAACGGCUCACCAAGGCAACGAUGCAUAGCCGACCUGAGAGGGUGAUCGGCCACAUUGGGACUGAGACACGGCCCAAACUCCUACGGGAGGCAGCAGUAGGGAAUCUUCGGCAAUGGACGAAAGUCUGACCGAGCAACGCCGCGUGAGUGAAGAAGGUUUUCGGAUCGUAAAACUCUGUUGUUAGAGAAGAACAAGGAUGAGAGUAGAAUGUUCAUCCCUUGACGGUAUCUAACCAGAAAGCCACGGCUAACUACGUGCCAGCAGCCGCGGUAAUACGUAGGUGGCAAGCGUUGUCCGGAUUUAUUGGGCGUAAAGCGAGCGCAGGCGGUUUCUUAAGUCUGAUGUGAAAGCCCCCGGCUCAACCGGGGAGGGUCAUUGGAAACUGGGAAACUUGAGUGCAGAAGAGGAGAGUGGAAUUCCAUGUGUAGCGGUGAAAUGCGUAGAUAUAAUGGAGGAACACCAGUGGGCGAAGGCGGCUCUCUGGUCUGUAACUGACGCUGAGGCUCGAAAGCGU